CCGUAGGGUGAACCUGCGGAGGGAUCAUUACUGAGUUUACGCUCUAUAACCCUUUGUGAACAUACCUAUAACUGUUGCUUCGGCGGGUAGGGUCUCCGUGACCCUCCCGGCCUCCCGCCCCCGGGCGGGUCGGCGCCCGCCGGAGGAUAACCAAACUCUGAUUUAACGACGUUUCUUCUGAGUGGUACAAGCAAAUAAUCAAAACUUUUAACAACGGAUCUCUUGGUUCUGGCAUCGAUGAAGAACGCAGCGAAAUGCGAUAAGUAAUGUGAAUUGCAGAAUUCAGUGAAUCAUCGAAUCUUUGAACGCACAUUGCGCCCGCCAGCAUUCUGGCGGGCAUGCCUGUUCGAGCGUCAUUUCAACCCUCAAGCUCUGCUUGGUGUUGGGGCCCUACAGCUGAUGUAGGCCCUCAAAGGUAGUGGCGGACCCUCCCGGAGCCUCCUUUGCGUAGUAACUUUACGUCUCGCACUGGGAUCCGGAGGGACUCUUGCCGUAAAACCCCCCAAUUUUCCAAAGGUUGACCUCGGAUCAGGUAGGAAUACCCGCUGAACUUAAGCAUAUCAAUAAGCGGAGGA
rnacentral:rRNA from 1 species